CACACACACACACACACACACACACACACACACACACACACACACACACGAGGCUCCUCCCUCUCACACAGAGAAAGGUAGAACAGCAACUGAUCAACAGAAGAGAGAUCUUACAUCUGGAGCUUUGAGGUCACUUGUAGCCCACAGACAGAUCCACUGCUGCCGAAACAAGGACUGCUGUGUAAUGGCUGCCCUCAGGGUUUUCCCCUUUCUUUCCGUCUUUCUGCUGCUGGUUCAUCAAUCAUUUGCCAAAAACGACGCUCCCUGCCAACUCUCCAAUUGGAACAACGCCUUCAACACCUUCAUGAAGCGCCACAUUCGCUCUGGUACUCCUACCACUCUGGACCAGAACCAAUGGAUGAAUUACAUCAGGAAUAACGGCGGCUGUUCCAGACCAACCCAGUCCUUCCUGCACCCGAACGACCUGGACAAGGUGAAGGCUGUGUGCACACCCAAGGGGGGAGCCGUGUACAAGGACAACCUGUGCAUCAGCUGGCAGCCUUUCACUUUUAUCACCGUGAGGAGUGAACAAGGGACAUGCGGGAUCAAGAGCAUCAGAGAGGAAACCAAACAUCUGAUUCUGGGCUGUGACAAGCUGAGCAAUCAGUGCCUGCCAGUCCAUUUUGAAGGUAAUCCUGACAAUAUAAAACCAGGAAACAACGCCAAAGGCUGCCAGGACCCAAGCACUGGUGAUGCCCCCAGCUUCAAACUGACAUGGCUCUGCUUGUUAUCCGUUCUUCUUAUUAUUAUUCUCUGUCAAAAUUAACUUGAGAAACUCGAUAGGACGAAAGGGUCUCGUGGACACAUUUUUAAAAAAAAAACUUGAAUUCGAAAGAGUUUGGCUUUAAAACAGUAUUUUAUAUGAAUAGCUAAAAUACCAAAAUAUCAACCAUAUUUUUUGUAAUAAUAUUUCAAUGUAUUUUUGUACCACUAUUAUCUGUUUGUGCCUAUCUGUAAGUUUGUAUCUGUGACGGAUAAUCAGAGUUGGUGUUCCAAAGGCAUUCAUUGUAUUUACAGCUACAGCAGUUGAUGCAUAAAGGAUGCUUUUUGUGUAUUUUACAUUAGAAAUUUUACAUAAAAAAGGGAUUUCAUUGUAUUUAAUGCACAGUAUGGUUCAGUAAACAGAAGAUUUGGAAUUCAUUUAGACUACUGUCAUUUCCACAAUGUUUCUGUUCAGUCUGUAAUAUCUGUAACAGAUUAUGGCAAAAACGUAACCCUGACCACAAAGCAUGUUAUACCAAUACAUUUCAAAAUAGACAAACAAGAAGAACAAGAGAAAACUCUCAAGUUUCUGUCUUAAAUACGAAUAAGACUUAAGUUGUGUGACAGUAUACAAAUAUUUUCUACACAUGAAGUACCAACAUUUGCAUGAUUCAAAUACAAACUCAACCAAAACCACCAAUAAUCGGCCUCCACAUGCGAAGACUGCGAACACACAGAUGAUGGCAGUAUUGCACCAAUAGCCCCUCUCAGAAAGAGGUCAAAGAAAUCGGGUUAGUGUUUUUCAACCAUUUUAGCAGUAAACUGUUUUGAGAUUUAUGUUGGUGAGGUUGUUGUUUUGUAUUCCUCAUAUCAGUGUUUCCAACUUGUUUCAAAUACCCAAUGUACGGUAUAAACACACAAAUAAACCACUUAUGUGUCA